AAAUCGGCCCUUUUCAGGGCCACCAAAAACAAAGAAAAAGUUAACCU
rfam:Daphnia pulex DAPPTscaffold_6_Cont429, whole genome shotgun sequence.